UGUUCGGUAGCGCAGUGGCUAACACACGCCCCCGGAAACGGGCAGGCGCGGGUUCGACUCCCGCUCGGGCUUUAA